GACGAACGCUAGCGGCGUGCCUAAGAAAUGCAAGUCGAGCGAGAUUAGAAACUUCGGUUUCGAAGUCUAGCGGCGAACGGUCGCGUAACACGUAAGCAACCUGCCCUGGAGUGUGGGAUAGCCCUUCGAAAGAGGGAUUAAUACCUCAUGUGGAUAUGAAUUGGCAUCUAAUCAUAUCUAAAGCAGCAAUGCGCUCUAGGAUGGGCUUGCGGCCUAUCAGCUAGUUGGUGGGGUAAAGGCCUACCAAGGCGACGACGGGUAGCUGGUCUGAGAGGAUGAUCAGCCGGACUGGGACUGAGACACGGCCCAGACUCCUACGGGAGGCAG
rnacentral:rRNA from 1 species